rnacentral:sRNA from 1 species
AGCAGCCGCGGUAAUUCCAGCUCCAAUAGCGUAUAUUAAAGUUGUUGCAGUUAAAAAGCUCGUAGUUGAAUUUCGAGACCGGCUUACUGGUCGUGCUAUUGUGCGUACUGGUAUAAUCGGUUUCUCCUUUCUGACGAACUAUAAUGCCAUUAAUUUGGUGUUAUAGGGAAUCAGGACUGUUACUUUGAAAAAAUUAGAGUGUUUAAAGCAGGCUCACGCUUGAAUACAUUAGCAUGGAAUAACGGAAUAGGACGUUUGAUUCUAUUUUGUUGGUUUCUAGGAUCGACGUAAUGAUUAAUAGGGAUAGUUGGGGGCAUUAGUAUUCAAUUGUCAGAGGUGAAAUUCUUGGAUUUAUUGAAGACUAACUACUGCGAAAGCAUUUGCCAAGGAUGUUUUCAUUAAUCAAGAACGAAAGUUAGGGGAUCGAAGACGAUCAGAUACCGUCGUAGUCUUAACCAUAAACUAUGCCGACUAGGGAUCGGAUGAUGUUAAUUUUUUAAUGACUCAUUCGGCGCCUUAC